rnacentral:miRNA from 1 species
UGAAGAAGGAACACUCACGAU